CCUACGGGAGGCAGCAGUAAGGAAUAUUGGUCAAUGGACGAAAGUCUGAACCAGCCAUGCCGCGUGCAGGAUGACUGCCCUAUGGGUUGUAAACUGCUUUUAUAUAGGAAGAAAAACUUUCUCGUGAGAAAGCUUGACGGUACUAUAAGAAUAAGGAUCGGCUAACUCCGUGCCAGCAGCCGCGGUAAUACGGAGGAUCCAAGCGUUAUCCGGAAUCAUUGGGUUUAAAGGGUCCGUAGGUGGACAAAUAAGUCAGAGGUGAAAUCCUGCAGCUCAACUGUAGAACUGCCUUUGAUACUGUUUGUCUUGAGUUAUUAUGAAGUGGUUAGAAUGUGUAGUGUAGCGGUGAAAUGCAUAGAUAUUACACAGAAUACCGAUUGCGAAGGCAGAUCACUAAUAAUCAACUGACACUGAUGGACGAAAGCGUGGGUAGCGAACAGGAUUAGAUACCCUGGUAGUCCACGCCGUAAAUGAUGGUCACUAGCUGUUUGGACUUCGGUCUGAGUGGCUAAGCGAAAGUGAUAAGUGACCCACCUGGGGAGUACGUUCGCAAGAAUGAAACUCAAAGGAAUGACGG
rnacentral:rRNA from 1 species